rnacentral:tRNA from 1 species
GAGGGGUGGCAGAAAAUAUGCCUUAGGCCUAAGACCUAAAAAUGAGGUUAACUCCCCCUCCA